UACGUAGGGGGCUAGCGUUGUCCGGAAUCAUUGGGCGUAAAGCGCGUGUAGGCGGUUCGGUAAGUCCGCUGUGAAAGUCGGGGGCUCAACCCUCGAAAGCCGGUGGAUACUGUCGGGCUAGAGUACGGAAGAGGCGAGUGGAAUUCCUGGUGUAGCGGUGAAAUGCGCAGAUAUCAGGAGGAACACCAAUUGCGAAGGCAGCUCGCUGGGACGUUACUGACGCUGAGACGCGAAAGCGUGGGGAGCGAACAGG
rnacentral:rRNA from 1 species